rnacentral:rRNA from 1 species
UCUGUAACUGACGCUGAGGCGCGAAAGCGUGGGGAGCAAACACGAUUAGAUACCCUUGGUAGUCCACGCCGUAAACGAUGAGUGCUAAGUGUUAGAGGGUUUCCGCCCUUUAGUGCUGCAGCUAACGCAUUAAGCACUCCGCCUGGGGAGUACGGUCGCAAGACUGAAACUCAAAGGAAUUGACGGGGGCCCGCACAAGCGGUGGAGCAUGUGGUUUAAUUCGAAGCAACGCGAAGAACCUUACCAGGUCUUGACAUCCUCUGACAACUCUAGAGAUAGAGCGUUCCCCUUCGGGGGACAGAGUGACAGGUGGUGCAUGGUUGUCGUCAGCUCGUGUCGUGAGAUGUUGGGUUAAGUCCCGCAACGAGCGCAACCCUUGAUCUUAGUUGCCAGCAUUUAGUUGGGCACUCUAAGGUGACUGCCGGUGACAAACCGGAGGAAGGUGGGGAUGACGUCAAAUCAUCAUGCCCCUUAUGACCUGGGCUACGCACGUGCUACAAUGGAUGGUACGAAGGCUGCAAGACCGCGAGGUCAAGCCAAUCCCAUAAAACCAUUCUCAGUUCGGAUUGUAGG